UGGCGACGGGUGAGUAACGCGUGGGAAUCUGCCUUUAGAUGGGGGAUAACGAGCCGAAAGGUUCGCUAAUACCGCAUAUGCCGCAAGGUGAAAAGGAGUAAUCCGUCUGAAGAUGAGCCCGCGUCCGAUUAGCUAGUUGUGGGGUAAAGGCCUACCAAGGCGACGAUCGGUAGCUGGUCUGAGAGGGAUGAUCAGCCACAAUGGGACUGAGACACGGCCCAUACUCCUACGGGAGGCAGCAGUGGGGAAUUUUACGCAAUGGGGAAACCCUGACGUAGCGACACCGCGUGAGCGAAGAAGCCCCCUUGGGGUGUAAAGCUCUGUCAGCUGGAACGAAACAAAUGACGGUACCAGCAGAGGAAGCAUCGGCUAACUACGUG
rnacentral:rRNA from 1 species